GAUGAACGCUGGCGGCGUACCUAAUACAUGCAAGUCGAGCGAACAGACGAGGAGCUUGCUCCUCUGACGUUAGCGGCGGACGGGUGAGUAACACGUGGAUAACCUACCUAUAAGACUGGGAUAACUUCGGGAAACCGGAGCUAAUACCGGAUAAUAUAUUGAACCGCAUGGUUCAAUAGUGAAAGACGGUUUUGCUGUCACUUAUAGAUGGAUCCGCGCCGCAUUAGCUAGUUGGUAAGGUAACGGCUUACCAAGGCAACGAUGCGUAGCCGACCUGAGAGGGUGAUCGGCCACACUGGAACUGAGACACGGUCCAGACUCCUACGGGAGGCAGCAGUAGGGAAUCUUCCGCAAUGGGCGAAAGCCUGACGGAGCAACGCCGCGUGAGUGAUGAAGGUCUUCGGAUCGUAAAACUCUGUUAUUAGGGAAGAACAAAUGUGUAAGUAACUAUGCACGUCUUGACGGUACCUAAUCAGAAAGCCACGGCUAACUACGUG
rnacentral:rRNA from 1 species